GACGAACGCUGGCGGCGUGCUUAACACAUGCCAGUCGAACGGAAAGGCCCUGCUUUUGUGGGGUGCUCGAGUGGCGAACGGGUGAGUAACACGUGAGUAACCUGCCCUUGACUUUGGGAUAACUUCAGGAAACUGGGGCUAAUACCGGAUAGGAGCUCCUGCUGCAUGGUGGGGGUUGGAAAGUUUCGGCGGUUGGGGAUGGACUCGCGGCUUAUCAGCUUGUUGGUGGGGUAGUGGCUUACCAAGGCUUUGACGGGUAGCCGGCCUGAGAGGGUGACCGGGCCAAAUGGGGAGUGGGUAAGGGCCAAACUCCCAAGGGGGGGAGGAGGGGGGAAAAAUUGAACAAGGGGGGAAAGCCGGAGGAAGAAACGCCGGGGGGGGAAUGACGGCCUUGGGGUUGUAAACCGCUUUGCCCUGGAACGAGGGGGGGGGAAGGGAAAUGGGAAAAAAACCACCGCCAAAUAAGGG
rnacentral:rRNA from 1 species